rnacentral:rRNA from 1 species
AGCGGCGGACGGGUGAGUAAUGCAUAGGAAUCUACCCGAUAGUGGGGGAUAACCUGGGGAAACCCAGGCUAAUACCGCAUACGUCCUACGGGAGAAAGGGGGCUCCGGCUCCCGCUAUGGGAUGAGCCUAUGUCGGAUUAGCUAGUUGGUGAGGUAACGGCUCACCAAGGCGACGAUCCGUAGCUGGUCUGAGAGGAUGAUCAGCCACAUCGGGACUGAGACACGGCCCGAACUCCUACGGGAGGCAGCAGUGGGGAAUAUUGGACAAUGGGGGAAACCCUGAUCCAGCCAUGCCGCGUAUGUGAAGAAGGCCCUCGGGUUGUAAAGCACUUUCAGCGAGGAAGAACGCCUAGCGGUUAAUACCCGCUAGGAAAGACAUCACUCGCAGAAGAAGCACCGGCUAACUCCGUGCCAGCAGCCGCGGUAAUACGGAGGGUGCAAGCGUUAAUCGGAAUUACUGGGCGUAAAGCGCGCGUAGGUGGCUUGAUAAGCCGGUUGUGAAAGCCCCGGGCUCAACCUGGGAACGGCAUCCGGAACUGUCAAGCUAGAGUGCAGGAGAGGAAGGUAGAAUUCCCGGUGUAGCAGUGAAAUGCGUAGAGAUCGGGAGGAAUACCAGUGGCGAAGGCGGCCUUCUGGACUGACACUGACACUGAGGUGCGAAAGCGUGGGUAGCAAACAGGAUUAGAUACCCUGGUAGUCCACGCCGA